rnacentral:rRNA from 1 species
UACAGAGGUCUCGAGCGUUGUUCGGAUUCAUUGGGCGUAAAGGGUGCGUAGGUGGCACUGUAAGUCGGGUGUGAAAUCCUGAGGCUUAACCUCGGAACUGCAUUCGAUACUGCGGUGCUUGAGGACUGGAGAGGAGACUGGAAUUCAUGGUGUAGCAGUGAAAUGCGUAGAGAUCAUGAGGAAGACCAGUGGCGAAGGCGGGUCUCUGGACAGCUCCUGACACUGAGGCACGAAGGCCAGGGGAGCAAACGGG